rnacentral:lncRNA from 10 species
GUUAAAAAUCAACUCAUAACUUAGAAACUGAUGUUAUUCAUAGAUUCCAGACAUUGUAUAGAAGAACACUGUGAAACUCCCUGCCUUGUUCUGUUUCUCUCUGACCACCGGUGCAUGCAGCCCCUGUCAUGUACCCCUUGCUUGCUCAAAUCUAUCAUGACCCUUUCAAGUGAAAUGCUUAGAGUUGUGAGCCCUUAAAAGGGACAGGAAUUGCUCACUGGGGGAGCUCAGAUUUUAAGGCAGUAGCUUGCUGAUACUCCCAGCUGAAUAAAGCCCUUCCUUCUACAACUCGGUAUCUGAGAGGCUUUAUCAGCGGCUCAUCCUGCUACAUUUCUUGGUUCCCUGACCGGGAAACAUGAUAACUGACAGACGGCCGAGGCAGCCCCUUAGGCCUGCCCUGCGGAGCAUCCCUGCAGGGGACUCCGGCCAGCCUGAGUGACGCAAUCCAAAGAGCGCUCCCGGGAAAGAAAUUGCCUGGGUGGAACGCCUAGCCAAAGCAGCGCGUAGCAGGCCCCUGCAGAGGAUCAGCACAGUGGCUGAACACCAGGAAGGAACUGGCACUUGGAGUCUGGACAUCUGAAACUUGGUGGAGUCUCACCCUUGCUCAGACUGGAGUGAAGUGGCAUGAUCUUGGCUCACCGUAACCUCUGCCUCCUGGGUUCAAGCAAUUCUCCUGCCUCAGCCUCUCAAGUAGCUGGCAUGAUAGGCAUCUGCCACUAUGCCUGGCUAACUUUUGUAUUUUCAGUAGUGACAGGGUUUCACCAUGUUGGCCAGGCUGGUGUUGAACUCCUGACCUCAGGCGAUACACCUACCUCAGCCUCCCAAAGUGCUGGGAUUACAGACGUGAGCCACCGUGGUUGGCCUCACUGCUGAAACUUACAUAAUUUUUUUUUUUUUUGAGACGGAGUCUCACUCUGUUGCCAGGCUGGAGUGCAGUGGUGCGACCUUGGCUCACUGCAACCUCCGACUCCCGGGUUCAAGCGAUUUCUCCUGCCUCAGCCUCCUGAGUAGCUGGGAUUACAGGCACGUGCCACCAUACCUGGCCAAUUUUUUUAUUUUUAGUAGAGCCAGGAUGCUCUCCAUCUCCACCCGCCUCAGCUUCCCAAAGUGCUGGGACUGCAGGUGUGAGCCACCGCCCUCGGCUGAAUUUUACCAAACAUUUAAAGAACUAACACCAAUCCUACUCAAACUGUUCUGAAAAAGAGGAGGAAGAGAUACUUCUAAACCCAUUGUAUGAGGCCAGUAUUACUCAUAUAUCAAAACCAGACAAAGACAAUUAAAAAGAGAAAGUACUGGGCAGUAUAAACACAGGCCAAAAUCCUUAACAAAAUAUAAGCAAACCAGGUUCAAAAACACAUUAAAAAGACCAUUCAUCAUACUAUGCAGCCAUAAAAUGGAACAAGAUAAUGUCCUUGCAUGGACAUGGAAUCCAUUAUCCCCUGCCAACCAAUGCAGGAACAGAAAACCAAACACCACAUGUUCUUACUUAUAAGUGGGAGCUGAACAAUGUGAACACAGGGAGGGGAACAACACACACUGGGGCUUUUUGGAGGGCGUGGAGAAGGGAGAGCAUCAGGAAAAAUAGCUAAUGCAUGCUAGGCUUAAUACCAGGGUGACGGGUUGACAGUUGCAGCAGAUCACCAUGACACAUGUUUACCUAUGCAACAAACCUGCACAUCCUGCACAUGUACUCAAGAACUAACAUAAAAUAAAAUAAAAUAAAAUAAAAACUAUUCAUCAUGACCAAGUGGAAUUUAUCACAGGGAUGCAAGGAUAGUCCAAUAUAUGCAAAUCAAUCAGUAUAUCAUAUCAACAGAAUGAAGGACAAAACCAUAUGAUCAUUUCAAAUAAUUCUGAAGACACAUUUGAUAAAAUUCAACAUCCCUUCAUGAUAAAAACUAAUGAAAAACUGGAUAUAGAAAGAACAGACCUUCGACAUGAUAAAAACCAUAUAUUAAUACAACAGACACAGCUAGUAGCACACUGAAUAGGGAAAAACUGAAAGCCUUUCCUUUAAGAGCUGGAACACAACAAGGAUGACCACUUUUACCACUAACAAAACUAAGAACCAGUCUUUUAAAUCCAUAAACAAAACUGACAAAGAAAAAAAGAGAGAAGACUCCAACAAAAUUAGAAAAGAAGACAUUAUAAAAGAUAUUCAGAAACAGGCCGGGUGCGGUGGCUCACAUCUGUAAUUCCAGAACUUUGGGAGGCCAAGAUGGGCUUCAAACACAAG